rnacentral:rRNA from 1 species
GACGAACGCUGGCGGCGUGCCUAAUACAUGCAAGUCGAGCGAAGCGGCGGAUGGGUGAGUAACGCGUGGGUAACCUGCCCUUAAGUCUGGGAUACCAUUUGGAAACAGAUGCCAAUACCGGAUACUAAAGGAUGGACCUGCGAUGCAUUAGCCAGUUGGUAAGGUAACGGCUUACCAAGGCGAUGAUUCCUAGCCGGUCUGAGAGGCUGAUCGGCCACAUUGGGACUGAGACACGGCCCAAACUCCUACGGGAGGCAGCAGUAGGGAAUAUUCCACAAUGGACGCAAGUCUGAUGGAGCAACGCCGCGUGAGUGAAGAAGGUUUUCGGAUCGUAAAGCUCUGUUGUUGGUGAAGCGGUAAUCAACCAGAAAGUACCGGCUAACUACGUGCCAGCAGCCGCGGUAAUAC